AUAUUAGGUAUAAAUAUUUUGUUUUGAUUUAAGAUUUUUAAAACAUUUUGAAAGUUAGUAAAGGUGAUUUAAAUUUAUUUUGUUAUACCUUAGAGAAAGUACUGUGAAGGAAUAUAAAUGAAUUAAAUGAAAAAAAAGAUUAAAACUUGUACCUUUUGCAUCAUGGUUUAACUAGAUAUUUAUUUUGUACUUAAAUGUCUCGAAAUCUAAUGAGCUAUUUUUAUUCAGUAUAUUAGAAAAUAAGGAUUAAUUGUAGCAAAAAUUUUCCUAGAAAUAAAAAUAGAAAUGAAAUUUUAUUCGUAUUAGAUGAUAGCUAGUUCUUCUAAAAGGCAUAUAAGUGCUUUAAAUUAAUUUUAUUUUUAUAAUAAUAAAAUAAAACUAAUUUUAAUUUAGUUAGAUUUUCGAGGAUAAGCUCGAAAAUAUAUAUUAUAUUUGCAUAUUUAUUUUAAUUAAAAUUUAAGCUUGAAAAUAGCUACGAUUUUGAUUUUGUUGCAAUUUCAUUAAACAUGCCAAAAAAAAUUGAUUUGCUUAAUAGUAAAAGAAGAAAACUUUAAAAUUAAGAUAAGUAGAACCUAUGUUAAAAUGAGUAUUGAUUAAUAUAUAAAUCUUUAAUGUUAUAUAGUUUUAAGCUAAUACUUUUACAUUAAUUUUAAAUCAUAAAAAGGAACUCGGCAAACACAUAUUCUGCCUGUUUAGCAAAAACAUGGCUCUCUGUUAAAAGUAAAUAGAGAGUCGGACCUGCCCGGUGAAUUUUUUUAACGGCCGCGGUACUCUGACCGUGCAAAGGUAGCAUAAUCAUUUGCCUUAUAAUUGAAGGCUAGUAUGAAUGGUUUAACAAGAAUAUAGCUGUCUCUUUAUGAUUUAAUAGAAUUUUAUUUUCAGGUGAAGAAGCCUGUGUUAAAUUAAAAGACAAGAAGACCCUAUCGAGCUUAAAAGAAAUCAGUAGAUUAAUAAAGUUUAAUAUAGUUUAAAAAGUCAACUACUGAAAAUUUUAGUUGGGGCGACUGAGGAACAAAGAAAGCUUCCUUUACAAACUAAAGACAUACAAGUAAUGAUCCAAAGCAUUUUGAUUAAAGAAAUUAGUUACCGUAGGGAUAACAGCAUUAUCUUUUUUAAGAGUUCUUAUCGAAAAAAAGGUUUGUGACCUCGAUGUUGGACCAGAAUAUCCUAAAGGUGUAGCAGCCUUUAAGGGUUGGUCUGUUCGACCAUUAAAAUUCUACGUGAUCUGAGUUCAGACCGGCGUAAGCCAGGUCAGUUUCUAUCUUUAAUUUUUAAAGUAAGCUUAGUACGAAAGGACCAGCCUAU
rnacentral:rRNA from 1 species